CCUAGCAUGAAUAAAAAUCGACAAUAAUAAUUAACACUCGACCAGAAUCAUCAAGAGAUGGUUUUUCGACCAAAAGACAGCCCGUCGAGAGGUUAAUUCUCCGUGUCGAUUUUUAUUUAAAUGCUGAUCGAUCAAUCUUCAAACUGAUCUUAAAGAAUUUUCUCUACCAAAAUUCUAUCUGCUCGUGAGGGUUAUUACAUUCUUCCCCCCUCAAAAGAAUUUGUCCCCGAAUUCUAAAAACGUAGCUGUACACUCUUUACUGAACAGUCUCUGAAAGGAGUUCUGGAUAUUAGAUCUGACCUUAUCUUAAUCUGCCCAUAUCAAAACAACUCAUGGUCGAUCCCUUGAUUCCCCCAACCGAUCCUUUCUUUUCUGAGCAGCCACUUUCAAGAUAACCAAAUUCUUUACUCUGCACAAUUCUUGUCAACUGCGGUCUGCAUACUUUUUCUAACAAUCUUGUAUCUGUAGACUAUUACUUCUCAACCUUUUCUAUCUCGCUCUCCCCCAUAACAACAACAUGAAAUUUGGACCGUGACGUGAUUUGCCAUACGUGAAUGUAACAUCUCCAGUCUAGUCAGUAUUAACUUGAUUAACCGUGCAACAAUCAAACAAGAACAUGCACGAUUAAUCACGCCAACAUGAUUCAGACCAGGGGUGCUACCACUACAAGAAAAAUGGGUUUUAAUAGCAGAUCGGAAUAGCGUUUUUUUCGAUUGUGCUAUUGUUGACAUAUCUCUUACUUUUAGAUAGCGUUUGCGAAAAUACAAACGCUAUGUUAGGUUGGUCCGAUUUUAAUUUCUCCAAAACACUUUUCGGACAUAGUAUACAUAGCACUUUUAGUUUUGAAACGCUAUGCAUAUCUAAAGCGGAAAAAUAAUUGAUUUUCCCUCUAUGUUUCACUUUUCCUCUUACUAUAUUUUACAUAACACUUAAGGUGAAAAAUUCUAUAAUAGCAUAUGUUUAAUAGACAUAUAUUUAAUAGCACAUAAUUAAAAAUGCUAUAUUUAUCUUUUUAAAUCCCUAAACCGUAAACGAAUUUUUAAACCCUAAACUUUAAACAUAUACUUUAAACUCAGAUAUUAAGUAUAUAGUCAAAAACUAUUUUUUGUUUCAUAAAUUUAAUCUCAAUCUCAAUACCCCAAACUUUUAACUUCAAACCCUGGGCUCAAACCCUAUACUCAAACCUUUAAACCCUUAAACUAAUUUCAUUUACUAUAAUUCUUUUAUUUAAAAUCUUUAAACUAAUUUAAGAUUACAGUUUAAAAAUUAAUCUCAAAUCUCAAUACCCCAAACUUUUGAUCCUCAAAUUCUAUUAUAUUUUAAAUUUUAAUUAUCAUGUUUAAUUCUUUAAAUUUAUGCAAUUUUUGAAGUGAAAUGAGAAGAACAAUUUUAUUAUUUUUUGGACCAUUGAUUGAAUUUGAUCUAGUGGCAACAAUCAUUAUUUGACUUUUGAAUCUCUAAACCCUAAACUUUAAACACAAACUUUAAACUAUAAUACUAUAAACUUUAUAAUACAUGAAAACUUGAACUUCAGAUCUUAGAUGUAAAACUAAAAAAUUGAAUAUUUUUGAAAUUAUCAAAUCAUAUAAUUUUUUUAUCAAAUCAGUUUUUAAUCAUAUAACCACAAAAUUAAAAUGCCAAACUUAAAUCCUCUAGUUCAUAAACUUUAAACUAUAUUUCAUAUAUCCAAAUUCUAAACCUUAAUUUUAAAUUUCAAACUUAAAUCCUCUAGUUCAUAAACUUUAAACUAUAUUUUAUAUAUCCAAAUAUAAAUCACAAAAUCAUAAAUUUUAAACGUUUUCUUAAAAUAAUUUUUAUUUUCAAAAAUAUAUCAUAAAUAUUUUUAUACUAAAGACACAAAAUAAAAUAGAAAACAAUGUUAUUAAGAAAAAUAGGAAUCAAAUACAAAAAUGUGAUUGGUCAACACAAACUGGCCAAUCACAUACAAGGACGGAGAUCAUGCUUUAUGUAAUCACAACCAUUGAUUAAACUUUUUUAAGGGUCCAGAUUUUUCUUACUUCUUCUCCUCUCUCUCUCUCUCUCUCUCUCUCUCUCUCUCUGUCGCUUUUGUUUUCAGAUCCAAAAAAUUUUUAAGUGUCUAGACUCACAAAACUCAUCUUCUUCCUCUCUGCAUCUUCAGUUUCUGUAAAUCACAGACUCAUCUUAUUUAAUUAGAUUUUUUUUUGAAUUUGAUCUAGUGGCAACAAUCACCAUCCUCUCUGUCGCUCAGUAUCCUUCUCCUUACAGAUAAUGGAGGUCGUGAGACAACAACAGAGGAGGAGCAUCCCAUCUACUCUAUUCUCUCUCUCUCUCUGAACCGUGAUGUCUCCUCUCUGUCCUGUGACGAAGUGACGCCUCCUCUCUGUUCUGGUUUCAGAGAAAGACUAGAGCAAUUGCGUAAGCUUGGAGAAUCAGAGCAAGGUGGGAGAAGACAGAGCAACGGCGUCGGAGAAGACCGAGCAGCGGCGUCGGGGAAGACCGAGCAGGGGUGGCGUUGGGGUAGACAGAGAUGGUGGUGCGGCGGGUGAGGACUGGAAGAGAACAAGGCAACAAAGGUCAUGACUUUAUAAGACGACGAAGAUCAUGGAAGAACACGACAACGAAGGUGGUGGUGCGACAGGUGAGGGUUGGAAGAUUAAGAAACGACGAAGGUGGUGGUGUUGGGGUGGCGCUUAGUUAGUACUAAUUAGGUUAAAGCUUGGUUUAGUUAGUAAUUAGGUUAAAGUUUUUGGUUUAUUAUUUAAUUAGAUUUUCUUUUUUUGUAAUCCAAUUUUGCUACAGAUCAAUAUUAAUAAAGAAAUUUUAAAUAUCAGAAUUAAUUUUAAAUUUUAAUUAUGCUUUUAUUUUUAAAUUAUUAACUGAAAAAUAAUUCUAAAAUAAAUAAUUAACAAAAUAUAAUUUACAAUAUAUAGCAGAAACAAAUUGCUAUAGUAGUU